UACGUAGGGUGCAAGCGUUAAUCGGAAUUACUGGGCGUAAAGCGUGCGCAGGCGGUUUGCCAAGUCCGACGUGAAAGCCCCGGGCUUAACCUGGGAACGGCGUGGGAGACUGGCAGGCUGGAGUGCGGCAGAGGGGGGUGGAAUUCCCCAAGUAGAGGUGAAAUUCGUAGAUAUGGGGAGGAACACCGGUGGCGAAGGCGGCCACCUGGACGGUAACUGACGCUGAGACGCGAAAGCGUGGGGAGCAAACAGG
rnacentral:rRNA from 1 species